rnacentral:lncRNA from 1 species
CGCAUUUGAAGUGUGAUUGUGUCACAGCGUCACGACGUGGGCUGUCCCAAUUCAGAAUGCGCCCUCCGAAGACCGCAUUCCAAGGCCGAUUGCGUCACCGCGGUGCGACGAAGGCUGACGUAUUUCGAAAGUGACGUCAAAUGCGCCCUCUGUUUCCCAGGAAAAUGAAGUGUACAUCUGAUGGACACUUCGUACUCUACCAUAUCCCAGAAUAACUUGCGUGCAGAUGACGACAGUGUUUAUAUUUAAAGAACAGCGGGUGAGAGUUCUGUGGGGGAAUUCACAUUGAAAUGUAAGUAUUGUGUUUUCAUUUACUCAAAUACCUAGCGAAACAAGUGUUAAAAGCCAGGUUUUUUUUACACAACGCCCACAAACAAUAAGACAACCACUAUAUAAGGCAAUAGUCUUUCCCUUUGUUGUGUUUUUGUAGUGCUGUAAUGCAAGAUAUGUCUACAAAUGUUUUAACCAAACUUUAGCACUUCAGUAUUUUGUAUGCAUGUGCUGCUGUGUCAUAUUUUCUAAUGUUAAGAUUGCAAUGCAAACCUGCCUUUAUAUUUUUCAUAAGUGUUUCCAUUUUCUCUUGUUAUAGUACUAUUCUGGAGAAAAUGAGUCUGCUGGGGAAAGACUUAAUACAAAGAUUGCAAGUGUCCUGGGACAGGUGAGGGAGUGAGUGGUGAGCUGGUGGAGCUACUCAGAGAGGACAUCAAACUCCAGAGAGAGACAGAGGAGAGAAGAGCACAGGAGAGAGAGAGAGAGAGACAGAGGAGAGAA